CCCCUGCCCGCUGCGGGCACCCCGAGGCGCAGCCGUCCCCGCAGCACCUGGCCCUGUCGCUCCCCCCAUGCGCCCCCCCCUCGGAGCGCCCAGUUGCUGCGGGGCUGGGAGGGGACGCCCGGGGUGGGGGUUAUUUUUUAUUUAUUUAUUUAUUUAAUUUUAAAGAGUGCUCUUUUUUUUUUUUUUUUUAAAGUCGAAACCCGCUCCAAGGGCAUUUCGACAAGUUCCAACCACGACCAUCUGGUCCAUUAAAAUAAAUCUGGCGUGCCUGCCCGCCCCCGUGCGCGGGGGGCGAGGCGGCGGGGGGACGGGGAACGGGGCUGGGAGAAGAAAGCUCCCAGCUGCUCUGACGUUUGAACGUAGAUUGGCCACAGCUGGCCCGUAAAAUGUGGCGCAAAAGCACUUCUGCUUCGAAUUAAGCCCAGGACAUUAGGAAAUACUGGUGGAAAGGCCAGCAUGGCUCGCGAGCGCUUGUGGGGGGAAGCGGGGAGCCGGGGGGGGGGGGGGACCCCAGGACCCCCGUGGGAAGGGCUGUGGGAGGGGGGUUGGCUGGCUCCCCCGCUGCAGUUGGGUUUUUGGGGGGUCCUUGGCCACCGGUGUUGGGGGCACAGCAGUGGGGGGGGUCCCUGGUGGCUGCCACCCCCCACUGAGCCCCCCAGUCCCUGCCCCACGGUGCUGCCGAGCCCUGAGGGUCGCAACGAACUGAUCGCCCGCUACAUCAAGCUGCGGACGGGGAAGACACGGACGAGGAAGCAGGUGAGGCCGUGGCUCUGCUUCUUUUUUGGGGUAGGGGAUCGGGAUGGGGGUGCCCGGUGGGGUCCGGCUGUGCCGUGCCGCCCUUCCCGGGGGCGUCAUCCUCGCCUCCUCCUCCUCCUCGUGCUGGUUCGGCUCCGUGCUCUCCGUAAGGAGCCGCAGCUCCAGCGCAGCAGCGUGUGCGUCCGUCGGCGUGCGCCUCCCUCUGCUUUUCCACCUGGAUCCAGAGCCCGUCCCCACCUUGCUGCGUGCCCCUCGUGGCACACCCUGUGGGGACGGCACCCCCAAAAUCCCCGGGCUGAGACCGAGCUGUCCCCAUCGCAGCCAGGGGACAGGCUGUGCCGUGCUGGUUUCGGGCAGCCCGGGGUGACACGGAGCUCGCUGCCCUGAUGUGCCAGCACCCGGGGCUGGCAGCACGCAGGAAGGGAUGCCGGUGGGUUGGGGGGGACGCUGUGGUCCCCCCCCUUUUAGCUGCAUGACACUGCAGCCCUCCAAGCGAUGCAUCCGCUCGUAAUGCACCCAGUGGCUCAUCCCUGCCCACCGGGGCCGUGCCGUGUGUCCUGGUGGGCUCAGUGGCUGUCCCCUCGGGGACAAUGGGGAGCAGGAGAUCUCCCACAGAGGGGUGUGAAUGGGGUUGGGGUGUUUUGGGGUCACUCAUGCUGGAACUGCCCCGUGCCACAGUCCCCAUAUGGGAUGGACGUACCUGCACCCCAGGUGCUGCGGGGAAAAACUCCUCCAGGGCUGGUGCUGGAAGGAGAGGGACCAGGGUCCGGCCACGGUCCUUAAAUCCUCUGUUCUCAUUUCACCUGGACCCUCUCCAUGGGGGGAAGGAUGGAGCAC
rnacentral:lncRNA from 1 species